CCUACGGGAGGCAGCAGUGGGGAAUAUUGGACAAUGGGGGGAACCCUGAUCCAGCCAUGCCGCGUGCGUGAAGAAGGCCUUUUGGUUGUAAAGCACUUUAAGCGAGGAGGAGGGCGUUAAGAUUAAUAACCUUAGCGAUUGACGUUACUCGCAGAAGAAGCACCGGCUAACUCCGUGCCAGCAGCCGCGGUAAU
rnacentral:rRNA from 1 species